rnacentral:rRNA from 1 species
UACGUAGGGGGCGAGCGUUGUCCGGAAUGAUUGGGCGUAAAGGGCGCGUGGGCGGCCCGUUAAGUCUGAAGCGAAAGUCCUGCUUUUAAGGUGGGAAUUGCUUUGGAUACUGAUGGGCUUGAGUGCAGGAGAGGUAAGUGGAAUUCCCAGUGUAGCGGUGAAAUACGUAGAGAUUGGGAGGAACACCAGUGGCGAAGGCGACUUACUGGACUGUAACUGACGCUGAGGCGCGAAAGUGAGGGGAGCAAAC